rnacentral:rRNA from 1 species
GCACGGGACGAAAACCGGGUUUUGAAAAUAUUGAGCUUGGGUGACGGUACCGAGCGAGGAAGCCACGGCUAACUACGUGCCAGCAGCCGCGGUAAUACGUAGGUGGCGAGCGUUGUCCGGAAUUAUUGGGCGUAAAGGGAGCGCAGGCGGACAUAUAAGUCCAUCUUAAAAGUGCGGGGCUCAACCCCGUGAGGGGAUGGAAACUGUAUGCCUUGAGUGCAGGAGAGGAAAGCGGAAUUCCCAGUGUAGCGGUGAAAUGCGUAGAUAUUGGGAGGAACACCAGUGGCGAAGGCGGCUUUCUGGACUGCAACUGACGCUGAGGCUCGAAAGCCAGGGGAGCGAACGGGAUUAGAUACCCCGGUAGUCCUGGCCGUAAACGAUGAAUGCUAGGUGUAGGAGGUAUCGACCCCUCCUGUGCCGGAGUUAACGCAAUAAGCAUUCCGCCUGGGGAGUACGGUCGCAAGACUGAAACUCAAAGGAAUUGACGGGGGCCCGCACAAG